UCCCAAGCGUUGUUCGGAAUUACUGGGCGUAAAGGGCCAGUAGGCGGCCAACUAAGUCCGACGUGAAAUCCCAAGGCUUAACCUUGGAACUGCGUCGGAUACUGGAUGGCUUGAAUUCGGGAGAGGGAUGCAGAAUUCCAGGUGUAGCGGUGAAAUGCGUAGAUAUCUGGAGGAAUACCGGUGGCGAAGGCGGCAUCCUGGACCGAGAUUGACGCUGAAUGGCGAAAGCUAGGGGAGCAAACGGG
rnacentral:rRNA from 1 species